AAAAUGCAUUGCAUUUUGAAUGAUUGCUGGCAUAAUUGCGUAAGAAGAAGAUGAUACCUGUCAGUAAGGAUGAACUCUGUGUCUCAGGUGAACAAGGUUUCCUGGAGUGAGUUUGCUCCUGAUGAAGACGAGGCUAAUGAUGAAGAGUGGGAUCUGACUGUCUCAUAGACACCCAGAGGAUUCACUUUGAUAUUUUCCUAUUAAUGUUUAAUUUAUUCAAUACAAUUACUAAUUAUUAAUGUUUACUGUCAGUUUUCUGCUUCAAACUGAACUAAAAGUAAAACUGUGUUCUGAUUAGUUGUUUCUGCUCAGGAGGGACUAAUACUGACAAAACAUGUUUAUAUGAAUGAAAAAAAAAAAAACAUUUCCACCAGACAACAUGGCAUCUGUUGUCCUGCUUCAGAAAA